UGAUUCAUGACUGGGGUCAAGUAGUAACAAGGUAACCGUAGGGGAACCUGCGGUUGGAUCACCUCCUUACCUUAAAGAA
rnacentral:rRNA from 1 species